GAUGAACGCUGGCGGCGUGCCUAAUACAUGCAAGUCGAGCGAAUGGAUUAAGAGCUCGCUCUUAUGAAGUUAGCGGCGGACGGGUGAGUAACACGUGGGUAACCUGCCCAUAAGACUGGGAUAACACCGGGAAACCGGGGCUAAUACCGGAUAACAUUUUGAACCGCAUGGUUCGAAAUUGAAAGGCGGCUUCGGCUGUCACUUAUGGAUGGACCCGCGUCGCAUUAGCUAGUUGGUGAGGUAACGGCUCACCAAGGCAACGAUGCGUAGCCGACCUGAGAGGGUGAUCGGCCACACUGGGACUGAGACACGGCCCAGACUCCUACGGGAGGCAGCAGUAGGGAAUCUUCCGCAAUGGACGAAAGUCUGACGGAGCAACGCCGCGUGAGUGAUGAAGGCUUUCGGGUCGUAAAACUCUGUUGUCAGUGAAGAAAACUUUAGUAAUAACACUAUUAAAGCAUGACGGUAACUGAAGAAUAAGGACCGGCUAACUACGUGCCAGCAGCCGCAGCAA
rnacentral:rRNA from 1 species